AUCUCUUCUUGGAGAUUGCUCCUCAUGGAGUUUUUGUGAGCCUAUGAUGUUGGGGGAACUGAACUGUUGCAGUUUAGAUAGUUCAUCUUCUCUGAGAUGCCACAGUCAAAGAAUCAGAUUUAUGAUUAUUACCUAAGGGAGACUUGAUCCAGCAAGCAUUGGUGAAUGUCAGUGGGUACCAUUUUUUUUUCCACAUGGCGGAAUUCAGUGACACACCAUUACUUCGUAUAUGCACUUCCAUGUCAGACACCAUUUUGUCAACCACCCCUCUGCUGCCAUCUGUCACAUGGUAUCAACAUGCCAUGGGAUGUUUGUGGGAAGUUCAGCCCCUACUGCAAUACCACCAACAUCUGCCUCUGAUGUUGUGAACAAACGUAAUAAAAUGGGAAACAUGGCUUUCGGAGCAGCCCUUGUGUCUGUAAAAGAAGGAGAAUGUAGAUCUGUUUUGCAUAAAAUGGAAUAUUUACUCAGAUUCCUCUCAAAGAAGGGUCUUCAGAAAACUGUCUUUCCAUGAGACAUUCCAACAGUUUUUCCUCUGUCAUGGCAGUUCAUUUCAGCUCAUUUCAAUUCACACAGAUAAAAACCAUUGCUUCCUGCUCCUACUGAACAGAAGGCCAUAACAUGCAUGUAGCACUAUCAGGAGGCAGCAAUGUCAGGUUUUCUUUAGAUAGAUUUCAUUUUUUAGUUAAUAUUUUACAGAAUUGGGGCACUUUUAAAUCUGGUUUUAAUAAAUUUUGUUUUGUGAAAAGCCAAACUAAUGGUUUUCAUCAAGUGUGGUUUAGCCGUAGGCUUUCAAGAACUGAGACAGCAUCUUCCACACCAUCAAUGUCAAAUAUUUUGUGUGUUUCUCUGUGGCCUGUAACUGGCAUGUAAGAACUUCUUUCUUUAUAAAAUACUACCAAUAGAUAGCUAUAGGGAGGCUGCCAUUGCUGUAGGAUUGCAGUCAUUGCUGUGGUUAUUCUCCCAUUUUUCCAUCCAUCCCAAGCAGGAGCUGCCCCUAUUCUGUAAAGUCAAUUUCUUUGUGGAGAUAUAAAUUAAAUAAAUGUUUUUUCUCAAGGAUGAAGUAACUUUAAUUUUCUCUGUAGAUUACCAAUUAUUGCAAAUUGAUGAAGUCUUGUAUGUUUUUCCAGGCAUUUUUAUCUGAGGAAUUUUGAACCUGAUGCUUAUGGAUUCCUAAUAACACUACAAAGAUAGCAAUGAAUUUUAUCUCUCUGCUUGCCAUCUCCCCUGACUUGCAGGCAGCAAAAAACUUGCCUUCAAAGCAUUUCUGCUCUCUUAUGAGAGCAUGUGAGUGUCCUGUGGCAACUGAAACUUCCAAUAUAUUUAACUUGGGGGUCAGAAUGAGCUGUCUUGUGGUGGUAUUUAUAAAGUAUCUAAAUGGAAAUUUCUCAGUGCCAUUACAAGAACAUUGGGGUUGCUUGUGCAGUUUCAAAUGGCGUUGCAUUUGAAGAAAGGAUUCUGGGGUUAAGUUUUCCCAGAUGGGAAAAAUCCAACGUAGGCAUCGCCACAGAACAAAGGUGCUCUUUUCUUCCAGGAUAAAUUGGUUUAUUUCCACAGUUAUGUUCUAUCUUUUCUAAUAGAUGGAUUGUGAAUGAUUGUAUUAAAUAAAAUACAAGCAAGACAUUAUUGGUUAAACUGAAAUGAUCAUUUGUUUAAAGGAUAUUCCUGUUGUCUGAACUGUCACGCACAUGAGCAGUCCUGUCUCAGGAAAUACUUCCAUUUUGAUUAACUGUAAAGAAUUUUGUUGACCUGAUAGACUCUUCUGAGAGCUGACAAACACCACGUCAAAAUAAUGUCAAGAUUAAAAAGUUGGUAAUACAAUUGAAAGUCAACAAAGCAUUGCAGUAUGUUCCUUUGAAAAAUGGAUCUUGGCCUAUCAGAACAUUGUUGAUGUAUAUCAAGUCAGAAAGAAAAACUUCAAUUAUUUGAAGGCAAAAUAAAAUAGCUCUGUAUCUCUACCAAAUGCAAGGUGAUAUGCAUUCAGGUUUCUGUAUAUGAAUGAGGAGUAUAUUUGGAGACUGGUGCCUCUUAAAUGGGUUUAUGGUUCAGCUGGUGUUGGAUGACAGUUAAAACAAAUGCAAUCUUUGAAUGUGUAAAAAUGAGAGUAUUGGGUGUAUGUCACUAGUUAGUAUGUGUGUUAGUAUGACACUAACAGGAGAAUUGAGAAAAUUGAGCUAGGCCUGAGGCUUAUGUAUUGAAAAGGGUGUUAGCUGGUAGAAAAUGUUCUGAAGCAAAGGAAAUGAAUGAUUCAGGCUUGACAAAUUUUCCUGUAAUUAUGACACGUGUUUUAACACUAAUUAACAAAUGCAAAAAUCACACUGAUGAAGAUAUUAAUUAUCAUAGAGGAACUAAAAUCUGUGUCCAGGGCAACUGAUUUUCUGAAUGAGAAAUACAUACAACUUCUGUUAUAUAGGAUGGAAAAGAGGAGCUAGAGCAAUCACUUUGGUACAAAAUUCUGUGAGUGCUC
rnacentral:lncRNA from 1 species